GCGCCCGUAGCUCAGUUGGAUAGAGCAACGGCCUUCUAAGCCGUGGGUCAGGGGUUCGAAUCCCUUCGGGCGCGCCA
rnacentral:tRNA from 3 species